CAGUCGCCGCGGUAAUACGUAGGGUGCGAGCGUUGUCCGGAAUUACUGGGCGUAAAGAGCUCGUAGGCGGUUUGUCGCGUCGUCUGUGAAAUUCUGCAGCUUAACUGUAGGCGUGCAGGCGAUACGGGCAGACUUGAGUACUACAGGGGAGACUGGAAUUCCUGGUGUAGCGGUGAAAUGCGCAGAUAUCAGGAGGAACACCGGUGGCGAAGGCGGGUCUCUGGGUAGUAACUGACGCUGAGGCACGAAAGCGUGGGGAGCAAACAGGAUUAGAUACCCCAGUAGUCCCUGUCUCUUAUAC
rnacentral:rRNA from 1 species